rnacentral:ncRNA from 1 species
UUCAAGAUGAGGUAUCCCACUCUACUUUGUAGGGGUAAGGCCCCCAGCUAGACGACUGGGUUGAUAGGCCGGAGAUGUAAGCUCGGUAACGGGUUGAGUUGACCGGUACUAAUAGGCCGAGGACUUGAUUAC